GAUGAACGCUAGCGGCAGGCCUAACACAUGCAAGUCGAGGGGUAGAGGAAGCUUGCUUCCUUGAGACCGGCGCACGGGUGCGUAACGCGUAUGCAAUCUACCUUGUACUGAGGGAUAGCCCAGAGAAAUUUGGAUUAAUACCUCAUAGCAUUAUGAUGUGGCAUCACAUUAUAAUUAAAGUUCCAACGGUACAAGAUGAGCAUGCGUCCCAUUAGUAGUUGGUAAGGUAACGGCUUACCAAGACAAUGAUGGGUAGGGGUCCUGAGAGGGAGAUCCCCCACACUGGUACUGAGACACGGACCAGACUCCUACGGGAGGCAGCAGUGAGGAAUAUUGGUCAAUGGGCGCAAGCCUGAACCAGCUAUGCCGCGUGCAGGAUGAAGCAUCUAUGGUGUGUAAACUGCUUUUAUACGGGAAGAAACACUCCUACGUGUAGGAACUUGACGGUACCGUAAGAAUAAGGAUCGGCUAACUCCGUGCCAGCCGCCGCAGUAAAAC
rnacentral:rRNA from 1 species